UAUUGGUCAAUGGACGCGAGUCUGAACCAGCCAAGUAGCGUGAAGGAUGACUGCCCUAUGGGUUGUAAACUUCUUUUAUAUGGGAAUAAAGUUUUCCACGUGUGGAAUUUUUCAUGUACCAUAUGAAUAAGGAUCGGCUAACUCCGUGCCAGCAGCCGCGGUAAUACGGAGGAUCCGAGCGUUAGCCGGAUUUAUUGGGUUUAAAGGGAGCGUAGGCGGGUUGUUAAGUCAGUUGUGAAAGUUUGCGGCUCAACCGUAAAAUUGCAGUUGAAACUGGCAGCCUUGAGUACAGUAGAGGUGGGCGGAAUUCGUGGUGUAGCGGUGAAAUGCUUAGAUAUAACGAAGAACUCCGAUUGCGAAGGCAGCUCACUAGACUGCAACUGACACUGAUGCUCGAAAGUGUGGGUAUCAAAC
rnacentral:rRNA from 1 species